UAAAGUAGGGAAUCUUCCACAAUGGGCGAAAGCCUGAUGGAGCAACGCCGCGUGUGUGAUGAAGGGUUUCGGCUCGUAAAACACUGUUGUAAGAGAAGAAUGACAUUGAGAGUAACUGUUCAAUGUGUGACGGUAUCUUACCAGAAAGGAACGGCUAAAUACGUG
rnacentral:rRNA from 1 species